rfam:Drosophila willistoni strain TSC#14030-0811.24 scf2_1100000002494 genomic scaffold, whole genome shotgun sequence.
UCAGAACUGGCACGGACUUGGGGAAUCCGACUGUCUAAUUAAAACAAAGCAUUGUGAUGGCCCUAGCGGGUGUUGACACAAUGUGAUUUCUGCCCAGUGCUCUGAAUUUCAAAGUGAAGAAAUUCAAGUAAGCGCGGGUCAACGGCGGGAGUAACUAUGACUCUCUUUCACAUCUUGCAAAAAUGCUAUCGUACGCACGGGAGGCGGGUAGCUAGACACAACAGCGUAGUAAAUGCCGUCAAGCGGGGACUUGAACGGAAAGGCUGCGUUGUCUAUGUCGAACCAAUGCAAUGCGACUCGGGCUUAAAUAAACCGGACCUGGUGGGAAUCCGACAGAAUCACAAUUAUGUGAUAGACGUUCAGAUUGUGACAGGCGGACAUUCCUUAGACCAAGCGCACCAGCGCAAGGUCGAAAGGUAUGACAGAGCUGACAUAAGAUCACAAAUGCGGCGAUUUUUCGGAGUGACAGGUGAAAUCGAGUUUCAUUCCGUUACACUCAACUGGAGAGAAAAGAUCUCCUCAUCGCUCAAGGUACCAAACUCAUCAGCGUCAGAGCAGUAAAAGGCGGAGUGACGUCUUUCAAACAUUUAAUGUAUUGUGCUGGGUAUACUCGAAGCUAGAUGUACUAACCUCUAGUUUCUCCUAUACUUUUGCCUGCUACCUUGGCAUUCCAUCUAAAAAGGUACAAACAAUGCAUUGUUAAAAAGAGGUGGUUUUAGUACGUAGGCACUGUGGGACUUCAUUGUCCCGAUGAUGCAGCGAAUCGUGCAUACGAGAUUGUCCAGUAGUUGGUUGCUCGUAUCUUUAGAAAAUUUCCUUCCUCGGCGAUCAAAAAAAAAAAAACAAAAAAAAAAAAUUGGAAUAAUUAGCGGGAAAAGAAGACCCUUUUGAGCUUGACUCUAAUCUGGCAGUGUAAGGAGACAUAAGAGGUGUAGAAUAAGUGGGAGAUAUUAUUCCUUGUGUUUGAUAUCGCCAAUGAAAUACCACUACUCUUAUUGUUUCCUUACUUACUUGAUUAAAUGGAACGUGUAUCAUUUCCUAGCCAUUAUACGGAUAUAUUUAUUAUAUCUUAUGGUAUUGGGUUUUGAUGCAAGCUUCUUGAUCAAAGUAUCACGAGUUUGUUAUAUAAUCGCAAACAAAUUCUUUAAUGAGAGAGUGCAUUUAUGUAUUUUUAAUUUGAAAUAUUUGGUAUAACUUCAAUUACUCAGGUAUGAUCCAAUUCAAGGACAUUGCCAGGCAGGGAGUUUAACUGGGCGGUACAUCUCUUAAAUAAUAACCGAGGUCUCCCAAGGCCACCUCAGUGCGGACAGAAACCACACAUAGAGCAAAAGGGCAAAUGCUGACUUGAUCUCGGUGUUCAGUACACACAGGGACACCAAAAGCUCGGCCUAUAGAUCCUUUUGGGUUAAAGAGUUUUUAACAAGAUGUGUCAGAAAAGUUACCUUAGGGAGAACUGGCUUUUUGAUCCUUCGAUGUCGGUUCUUCCUAUCAUUGUAAAGCAAAAUUCACCAAGCGUUGGGAUUGUUCACAUGGGUGUGGGAACGUGAGCUGGGUUUAGACCGUCGUGAGACAGGUUAGUUUUACUCUACUAAUGACAAAACGUUGUUGCGACAGCAUUCCUGCGUAGUACGAGAGGAACCGCAGGUACGGACCAAUGGCACAAUACUUGUUCGAACGAACAGUGGUAUGACGCUACGUCCGUUGGAUUAUGCCUGAACGCCUCUAAGGUCGUAUCCGUGCUGGACUGCAAUGAUAAAUAAGGGGCAAUUUGCAUUGUAUGGCUUCUAAACCAUUAAAAGUUUAUUUUAUAAACGACAAUGGAUGUGAUGCCAAUGUUAUUUGUAACAUAGUAAAUUGGGAGGAUCUUCGAUCACCUGAUGCCGCGCUAGUUACUUAUUAAAACAUUAUUUAAUACAAACGACAAAGCCUAGAAUCAAUUGUAAACGACUUUUGUAACAGGCAAGGUGUUGUAAGUGGUUGAGCAGCUGCCAUACUGCGAUCCACUGAAGCUUAUCCUUUGCUUGAUGAUUAGA